rnacentral:lncRNA from 1 species
CAAGGUAACACAAAUCUGGUUGGUCACAGUAAGAAUAAGAACUCACAGUUGCGUGUUGUUUACCUUUCCACUGUAAAUUAAUGAACAAAAGCCUUAUAAUUGCUUUGCUUGUGUGAACUCAGUCCUCACAAUAACCCAGUGAGGAUUGUUCUCUUCUGUUUUGUUUUGUUAUGUUUUGUUUUGUUUUGAGACAGGGUCUCACUCUGUCUCCCAGGCUGGAGUGCAGUGGCACAAUCUCAGCUCACUGCAACCUCUGCCUCGCGGAUUCAGGUGAUUCUGGUGUCUCAGUCUCUUGAGUACCUGGGAUUACAGGCUCACUACACCACACCUGGCUAAUUUUUUGUAUUUUUAGUAGAGACGGGGUUUCACCAUGUUGGCCAGCCUGAUCUCGUACUCCUAACCUCAGGUAAUCUGCCCACCUCAGCCUCCCAAAGUGCUGGGAUUACAGGUGUGAACCACUAUGCCCGGUGAGGAUUGUUCUUAUCACAUUCUUAUCACCAUUUUACAGAGGAAGAAGCGUCUGGGGAGAUCAAGUGACUUGCUCAGGCAGCUGGGAAGUGGCAGAGAAAGGAUUAGAACUCAGGACCGGCUCUGGGUUUCCAACAUUGUAUUACCUCUGGUAGGUGGUCUGACUGGACAACUCAGCUCCAUAAUGUGUCAGUUAACAAACUGUUGACAAGGACCAUUUGAGGAAGAAAUAUGAAUUCCAGUUGUUGUCUGAAAAACUCCCAUUGAUACUUCUGGUAAGAUUAAGAACGUGCCAGCAUUAAAACUUGCAGACUGAGGUGAACAGCAUGGAGGAAAACUCUGAUGACGAUAGUGGAACCCUCUAUAAAGAAAAAGCUGUUAUCACCAAUUCCACGGUACAAUGGAUGACACGGUGUGGAAAAACCAAAACAAACAUGGACCUCCUUGGCUGUGAGUCAAAAGUGAUUUAGAAUUGGAUUCUGAACACAAAGGGGUUUUAGGAACAUGCUACCAAUUUGUUUUGCUUCUAUUUCCCCCAUUUUUUAUGAGUGUGUAAGAACAAUGUGAUAAAAAUGUGAACAAAUAAGUCUAAGAGAGCUCUUCAAGUAGGUAUAAAAGAAAAAAUAUAAGUGACAAGAAAGCCUUGUGCCAUAGUUUAAUUGGUAGUGAUUUUUUCUUUCUUUGGGCUACAGAAAAUAGGAAUAAAUUGACGUUGAAUCUCACAAACAUAAUGUUGACUGAUAGAAGUCAUAAACAAAAGAUGAUAGGAUGUAUGAUGCUGCUUUCAUAAAGUUCAAGAAAGCAAGUAAAACCAAGAUGGAU